rnacentral:rRNA from 1 species
AGUGAACGCUGGCGGUAGGCCUAACACAUGCAAGUCGAACGGCAGCACAGUAAGAGCUUGCUCUUACGGGUGGCGAGUGGCGGACGGGUGAGGAAUAUAUCGGAAUCUACUUUUUCGUGGGGGUUAACGUAGGGAAACUUACGCUAAUACCGCAUCCGACCUACGGGUGAAAGCAGGGGAUCUUCGGACCUUGCGCGAUUGAAUGAGCCGAUGUCGGAUUAGCUAGUUGGCGGGGUAAAGGCCCACCAAGGCGACGAUCCGUAGCUGGUCUGAGAGGAGGAUCAGCCACACUGGAACGGAGACACGGUCCAGGCUCCUGCGGGAGGCAGCAGUGGGGAAUAUUGGACAAUAGGCGCAAGCCUGAUCCAGCCAUACCGCGUGGGUGAAGAAGACCUUCGGGUUGUAAAGCCCUUUUGUUGGGAAAGAAAAGCAGCAGGUUAAUACCCCGCUGUUCUGACGGUACCCAAAGAAUAAGCACCGGCUAACUUCGUG